rnacentral:lncRNA from 1 species
UUUUUCUACAGGGGCAGACACAUCACACUAGACCCCAGGUCCCACCAGAGGCUGUGUCUUACACGCAGGAAGCACUGGGUCACUAACUUCUCCACACAGCUCACCUCCCCAACAGUCUAUUGACUGAUUCUCCUCCAACGUCUGCCUUUCUCACAAAUGUGGAUAAAUGAACCCGCUGUGUAUGGUUACCUCUAUGGGAAAGUCCUCCAUUUAUGGACUCACUGGAAGCUCCCAAGAGGAGGGUAAAGUCUGAGGACAACUAAAGCAUAUGCCAUUUUUAAGUGUCUAGAGAAACCAGUGAUUUGCACUUUGGUGAAUCUGUUUUUAUUCACCAAGCCAAAAUUUCUGGUGCAUGCAGAUGGCACUGAGAUAUUUACUGAAUAAAACAAUAAACAGUAGACCAGGCAUCUAAAAACUAAGUCGUCUGAAAGUGCUAUGAAGAAAGCCUGUGCUAUCAGGAUCCUGGGGCAGUGCCCCUGUCAGUGCGAUGAUGCGGCCUCAGCAAACAUUCCACCACGCUGCCGGAAUCAGCAGUUAGCUACUACAAGUGCCCUAAAAGGAAUGAUGUCUAUAUAUACGACGGACAAUGAGCAGUACUGUCAUAAAAUUUUUCUUUAGCAACCCAAAACUAAAAACGUAGACAAUCCAGACAGUCACUUUUAUUUAAAACGAAGAGCUUGUACCAAAAGUAGGGUGUGCCUGUUUUAAGGUAUACACUAUAUGUAUU